rnacentral:tRNA from 1 species
GGAGGAGUUGGUUGCUCAGCGGUAGAGUGCAAGCUUCGUAUGUUUGAUGUCCUGGGUUCAAUCCCCAGCUUCUCCC